rnacentral:rRNA from 1 species
ACCAGGUCUUGACAUCCUCUGACAACCCUAGAGAUAGGGCUUCCCCUUCGGGGGCAGAGUGACAGGUGGUGCAUGGUUGUCGUCAGCUCGUGUCGUGAGAUGUUGGGUUAAGUCCCGCAACGAGCGCAACCCUUGAUCUUAGUUGCCAGCAUUCAGUUGGGCACUAUCUAAGGUGACUGCCGGUGACAAACCGGAGGAAGGUGGGGAUGACGUCAAAUCAUCAUGCCCCUUAUGACCUGGGCUCUACACACGUGCUAUUUCAAUGGGCAGAACAAAGGGCAGCGAAGCCGCGAGGCUA